rnacentral:rRNA from 1 species
AGAGUUUGAUCAUGGCUCAGAUUGAACGCUGGCGGCAGGCCUAACACAUGCAAGUCGAGCGGAUGAAGGGAGCUUGCUCCUGGAUUCAGCGGCGGACGGGUGAGUAAUGCCUAGGAAUCUGCCUGGUAGUGGGGGAUAACGGCCGGAAACGGGCGCUAAUACCGCAUACGUCCUGAGGGAGAAAGUGGGGGAUCUUCGGACCUCACGCUAUCAGAUGAGCCUAGGUCGGAUUAGCUAGUUGGUGGGGUAAAGGCCUACCAAGGCGACGAUCCGUAACUGGUCUGAGAGGAUGAUCAGUCACACUGGAACUGAGACACGGUCCAGACUCCUACGGGAGGCAGCAGUGGGGAAUAUUGGACAAUGGGCGAAAGCCUGAUCCAGCCAUGCCGCGUGUGUGAAGAAGGUCUUCGGAUUGUAAAGCACUUUAAGUUGGGAGGAAGGGCAGUAAGCUAAUACCUUGCUGUUUUGACGUUACCAACAGAAUAAGCACCGGCUAACUUCGUGCCAGCAGCCGCGGUAAUACGAAGGGUGCAAGCGUUAAUCGGAAUUACUGGGCGUAAAGCGCGCGUAGGUGGUUCAGCAAGUUGGAUGUGAAAUCCCCGGGCUCAACCUGGGAACUGCAUCCAAAACUACUGAGCUAGAGUACGGUAGAGGGUGGUGGAAUUUCCUGUGUAGCGGUGAAAUGCGUAGAUAUAGGAAGGAACACCAGUGGCGAAGGCGACCACCUGGACAGAUACUGACACUGAGGUGCGAAAGCGUAGGGAGCAAACAGGAUUAGAUACCCUGGUAGUCCACGCCGUAAACGAUGUCGACUAGCCGUUGGGAUCCUUGAGAUCUUAGUGGCGCAGCUAACGCGAUAAGUCGACCGCCUGGGGAGUACGGCCGCAAGGUUAAAACUCAAAUGAAUUGACGGGGGCCCGCACAAGCGGUGGAGCAUGUGGUUUAAUUCGAAGCAACGCGAAGAACCUUACCUGGCCUUGACAUGCUGAGAACUUUCCAGAGAUGGAUUGGUGCCUUCGGGAACUCAGACACAGGUGCUGCAUGGCUGUCGUCAGCUCGUGUCGUGAGAUGUUGGGUUAAGUCCCGUAACGAGCGCAACCCUUGUCCUUAGUUACCAGCACCUCGGGUGGGCACUCUAAGGAGACUGCCGGUGACAAACCGGAGGAAGGUGGGGAUGACGUCAAGUCAUCAUGGCCCUUACGGCCAGGGCUACACACGUGCUACAAUGGUCGGUACAAAGGGUUGCCAAGCCGCGAGGUGGAGCUAAUCCCAUAAAACCGAUCGUAGUCCGGAUCGCAGUCUGCAACUCGACUGCGUGAAGUCGGAAUCGCUAGUAAUCGUGAAUCAGAAUGUCACGGUGAAUACGUUCCCGGGCCUUGUACACACCGCCCGUCACACCAUGGGAGUGGGUUGCUCCAGAAGUAGCUAGUCUAACCGCAAGGGGGACGGUUACCACGGAGUGAUUCAUGACUGGGGUGAAGUCGAAACAAGGUA